CCUACGGGCGGCAGCAGUGGGGAAUAUUGGACAAUGGGCGAGACCCUGAUGCAGCGACGCCGCGUGAGUGAAGACGUCCUUCGGUGCGUAAAGCUCUAUCAGCAGGGGAGAAAAUGACGGUACCUGACUACGAAGCCCCGGCUAACUACGUACCAGCAGCCGCGGUCAUACGUAGGGGGCAAGCGUUAUCCGGAUUUACUGGGUGUAAAGGGAGCGUAGACGGCAGCGCAAGUCUGGAGUGAAAUCUCAUGGCUUAACCAUGGAACUGCUUUGGAAACUGUGCAGCUGGAGUGCAGGAGAGGUAAGCGGAAUUCCUAGUGUAGCGGUGAAAUGCGUAGAUAUUAGGAGGAACACCAGUGGCGAAGGCGGCUUACUGGACUGUAACUGACGUUGAGGCUCGAAAGCGUGGGGAGCAAACAGGAUUAGAUACCCGUGUAGUC
rnacentral:rRNA from 1 species